rnacentral:rRNA from 1 species
GACGAACGCUUGCGGCGUGCUUAACACAUGCAAGUCGAACGGAAAGGCCCUGCUUUUGUGGGGUGCUCGAGUGGCGAACGGGUGAGUAACACGUGAGUAACCUGCCCUUGACUUUGGGAUAACUUCAGGAAACUGGGGCUAAUACCGGAUAGGAGCUCCUGCUGCAUGGUGGGGGUUGGAAAGUUUCGGCGGUUGGGGAUGGACUCGCGGCUUAUCAGCUUGUUGGUGGGGUAGUGGCUUACCAAGGCUUUGACGGGUAGCCGGCCUGAGAGGGUGACCGGUCACAUUGGGACUGAGAUACGGCCCAGACUCCUACGGGAGGCAGCAGUGGGGAAUAUUGCACAAUGGGCGGAAGCCUGAUGCAGCAACGCCGCGUGCGGGAUGACGGCCUUCGGGUUGUAAACCGCUUUCGCCUGUGACGAAGCGUGAGUGACGGUAAUGGGUAAAGAAGCACCGGCUAACUACGUG